UAAAGAGAGAAAUGUCAUGAUGA
rnacentral:sRNA from 1 species